rnacentral:ncRNA from 1 species
UAUGAGCCGAGGAGCCUUGCAGAAACUUCAAGUUGGCGCUAACUCGAAACAGUAGCAAGAGAGCUCGUAUUAUGUGAAAGGACUGGCUGAAGCAUAAUAAAAUACUGAGCCCACUUCGCAGGGGGCAG